rnacentral:lncRNA from 1 species
GGUCUUCCUUUGCCGUUGGUUUACCCUCCAAUGGCCACCGUGGCCAGCGCGCUGCAGCCGGCACACCUCGCUGAUCCGAUGGCAGGAGCCAGGUACUUCUCCUGGUUUUCCAUGGGGUGCAGGGCCCAAGCACUUGGGGCAUCCUCCACUGCACUCCCUGGCCACAGCAGAGAGCUGGCCUGGAAGAGGGGCAACUGGGACAGAAUCCGGUGCCCCAACCGGGACUAGAACCCGAUGUGCCGGUGCCGCAGGCAGAGGAUUAGCCUAGUGAGCUGCGGCGCCGGCCUAUUUAUCCUUCUUCCUUCAACCACCAGCUGAGCUGUAGCUUAGAAGAGGGAGGCAGAGGAGGUGAACCUGACAAAGACCAGGCCCUCUCACUCACCAAUCCAUGUACAAGAAUGCAAGGAGGAGAGGAUGAGCCAAGCAGGCCCCAUGCCCACAGCAACCGUGGAACCACAAGUGAGGCUACGUGAAUACAUAUUUCUAUAUAUGAUUAAAGGCACAGAAGAAACACAGAAAGGGGAAACAGCUGAGCAAAGCACUUGCACAAUGUAUGAUUUUAUGAGUUGCCAGAUCUGACCAGCUGUUAUCACUUUUUGGUUAUAAGGGACAGAAACUCAAUUCAGUCUAGCUUAAGUUAAGGAAAUAAGCCUAAAAAUUAUAAGUAAGCCAGCAGUGAUAAGAGGGAGGCACUAUUGUCUCACAUACCCUGGAAGGAUGGGAAUAAAUCUGGCCCAGGGAACAGCAGGGUUCACAGAAUCAAAGCAAUGCACGCGGCCUCUCUCUCCGUCUCUCUCAUCUUGGGCUUCUCUGCUCGCCUUCACUCUCUGCUGUGCAAACAGGUUUUCAGGGCUCAUAGUCACCGGCAGAUUAGCAAGCUCAGAGAGCUGAAGGGCAGUCUACGUCCAUGUCAUAGCUCAGGGUACUCCACAUGGCAGAAGCUAAAGCCUAAAAAUAAUGAACAUCUUGCUGUGUUGUAUCCACUCUCCCACCUACAUCUUAUUUUUUACAUCAAUGCAUUAUUAAGAGACUAAUGAAUCAAAUAAGGCAAAUUCAGGCAUUGGGUUUCAAUGAUGAGAAUGACACUAAAAUUCCAGAUCUGUGGUGAACAAGAUAUAGCAUUAAAUUCAUGAAUAGUGGAGUUGAGAAUCAGGACAAAAAGUCAAGAUCAUAAACCCGGAAGUUCACAUUCAAACUCUGAAAUAGGAAAUGUCUAUAAAAGUAAAACAAGACAGAAAGCAAGAAGGAAGUGCUGAUGACUUGAUGUGUCCCCCAAAGUUCAUGUAUUGGAAACUUAAUCCCCAGUGUAACAGUGAUGGGAGGUGGAGCCUAAUAAGAGAUGAUUGGGUCAUGGAUUAAUGUCAUUAUCACAGGUGUGGGUUUGUAAUAAAAGUAUGCUAGGUCUUUCA